UAAUGCGUGACCAGAGACCGGCAGAGGCAAACGGAAUCUCCGGAGUACCGGUCAAAUGCGCAGAGAUCAGAAAGAACACCGAUGCCGAAGGCAGUCUCACUAGGCCGCAUCUGACGCUGAGAGGCGAAAGCUAGGGGAGCAAACAGGAUUAGAGACCCUGGUAGUCCUAGCUGUAAACGAUGGAUGAUAGGUGAGGGCCGGAAAGGUCCGUGCAGUAGUUAACGCGAUAAGCAUCCCGCAUGGGGAGUACGACCGCAAGGCUAAAACUCAAACGAAUGGACGGGGACCCGCACAAGCAGCGGAGCGUGUGGUUUAAUUCGAUGUUACACGCAGAACCUUACCUGGGCUUGACAUGUAGAUGAUACUGAAGUGAAAGCGGAGCGACCUUUUGGGGAGCCUACACAGGUGCUGCAUGGCUGUCGUCAGCUCGUGCCGUGAGGUAGUCGGGGUAAGUCCCGUAACCGAGCCGCAACUCCUUGUCUUUAAGUUACAAGUGUCUAAGGAGGCUGCCGGUGACAAACCGGAGGAAGGUGGGGAGGACGUCAAGUCAGCACGGCCCGUAUGUCCAGGGCGACACACACGC
rnacentral:rRNA from 1 species